rnacentral:rRNA from 1 species
UAGUCCACGCCGUAAACGAUGAGUGCUAGAUGUCGGGAGAUUUACUCUCGGUUUCGCAGCUAACGCAUUAAGCACUCCGCCUGGGGACUACGAUCGCAAGAUUAAAACUCAAAGGAAUUGACGGGGGCUCGCACAAGUGGUGGAGCAUGCGGUUUAAUUCGAUGCUACGCGAAAAACCUUACCAACUCUUGACAUGGUGGUCGCGAAUCACAGAGAUGAGAUUCUUCAGUUCGGCUGGACCACACACAGGUGUUGCAUGGCUGUCGUCAGCUCGUGUCGUGAGAUGUUGGGUUAAGUCCCGCAACGAGCGAAACCCUCAUCCUUAUUUGCCAGCGAUUCGGUCGGGGACUAUAAGGAAACUGCCGGUGAUAAACCGGAGGAAGGUGGGGACGAUGUCAAGUCAUCAUGGCCCUUACGGGUUGGGCUACACGCGUGCUACAAUGGUAUUUACAGAGGGAUGCAAUACGGCGACGUGGAGCAAAUCCUCAAAAAAUAUACUCAGUUC